UGGUAAAAAUGAAUAUAGACUCGUAUAUACCUGGUAAUAUGGACUGGGCGUUUCUACCUGCAAACCGUAAAAGUGCGGACUACGAGGCGUUGUUGGAUGAUU
rfam:Turicibacter sp. H121, complete genome.